UUGCGCUAGUCCACACAGACUACACGCUCAUCCUCGCAAUACCCCAGUGGUCAGCGUUUACCCAUCCUUCUCCCCACGGAAGUCUCUCUUCAACAUCACACGCGAGAACAAUUCUCCAACUUCAGUUCACGUGCGCCCGAGCCGCGUCGCGCGCGCUCACGUUCCGCAUCAUUCGUCGACGGUUAGACGCACGCAGAAAACCGUUGAAACCGGUACUUGGCAGGCUGUGUUGUGGCGGAGAAGCAAAGAGGAAAAGAAGCAGAGAUAGAGAGAGAGAAGGUGAAAAGAAGAAGAACAUUUCUACUCGCCGAGCUCCUUUUUUCCUCUGUCAAGCGUGUUUCAUCCCCUGUGUGGUGAAAAGCACAGAGCUGCGUGGGACCGAUUUCCCGCCGCUGCACGGAGACACGAGGCGUCCUCUGAAAGGUCUCUGUAUUUCGGCCCUGAAGGAUGACAAAUCGUACAUAGUUGAAUAUCAAUUUAUCAACACAUCAUUCAGACGAAUCGGUUCAGCUUAUGAGGAAAUGCACAAAGAAAAGGU